AGGUCCCCCCGGUGCCGCGUUCCGUUGCCGUCUCAGUCGCCGUCCCCCCGCACCCCGCAGCGCCAUGAGCCGCCGAAGAGCCCGCUCCCGUUCCCGGCCCCGACGGCGAAGGGGCGGAAGGAGGCGCAGCCGCCGUCGCGGAGGACGCCGUACGAUGAGGCGGAGAGGUUUCCGCGCCUGCACGGUGUAUUACUACCGGAGGAGACGCUCUCGCAGAAGACGCUGAUCACCGCCCCGGGACCCCCCGGCUCCGGCGCUAUAAAUGUCACCGUCCCCGCUCC